AAGGGUGUAGCUCAGUGGUCAAGCAUGUUUGCCAAGAGCAAGGUCCUAGGUUUGAUUCCUAGCACCAUCA
rfam:Ictidomys tridecemlineatus contig034838, whole genome shotgun sequence.